GACGUAGGGGGCAAGCGUUGUUCGGAAUUAUUGGGCGUAAAGCGCUCGUAGGCGGGACUGGAAGUCCGUGUUGAAAGACCUCGGCUCAACUGCGGGACCGGCUCGGAUACUCUAGUUCUUGAGGCAAUCAGAGGGUGAUGGAAUUCCCGGUGUAGCGGUGAAAUGCGCAGAUAUCGGGAGGAACACCGGUGGCGAAGGCGGUUCUCUGGGCCUUACCUGACGCUGAGGAGCGAAAGCGUGGGGAGCGAACAGG
rnacentral:rRNA from 1 species